AUGCCAGGAUGACAAAAAUUUCCCACUCCACUCGAAUUAAAACCCUAGCGGCAAAACCUUCGCUCUGCGCCGCCGUCGCCUGCUCCCGUCCCGCCACCACAUCCACCCAGGAACUCGCCGUCGGGGAGGCUGCUCGAGGAGCCGCGCUGUCUCUCCCGUGCCGCGACCUUCGCCCUCGCCGCCGCCAUGAUCUGCGCGAUCUCCAGCGAGGUGCCGGACGAGCCGGUGGUGUCGAAGAAGUCGGGGCUUCUCUUCGAGCGGCGGCUCAUCGAGCGCUACAUUGAGGUCCGUAGCUUGGCCUCAGAUCUUGCGCUGCAAUUUUUUUGAUCCAGAUGAGAUAUUCAGGUCCUUUUAUGGCACCCAUGAUAAUAUGUUCCAUCCCCAGUAUACCUAUAGGGCUAGGGGAACAGGCAGGCAACAGCAACAGAGAAGGGAGCAUUCAGUGGAGGGUGGUUCCAGCAUAAAUCUAACAGUGUUUAUUCACCUUGUAGUAGUACUGUUUAUUGUUUCGCUUGCAUUUAUUCCAGCGCGUCAAGCUGAGUAUUCCCUGCAAUAGACAAAUUACUUCCCCAUUUCAAAGGUCACUCAAAAACAAGAAGUGGAGUACUUCGUCAGCAAACAAGAUUUUGAUCAGCAGUUUCCACAGGGUAGUCAGUCUAGAGAGAAUCUUGAACGACAUGUUCUGAUGGACUAUAAGAGUAUGCUUGGAAGAUAUUUCCAUGUGGAACUCCAACGUCGUCAAUGGGCCAAGGACUACCCUACACCUCGCUGUGACAAGCUAAGGGAGCUGUCUGUGGCGCAGAAUGUGCAUAUGCCAUCAGUUUGAUCUCCUGUUUUCAUCAUGGAAGAAUAUCUCUCAUAUUUGCAGGUUAUGAAAACUCCUGAAAUUCGCUUCACCCUAUAGGACAGCACCGUAACCUGGGACUGUGACAACCUUCUGCACUAUUGACCACUGCAACUACCGCUGCUAGGAGGGCCAAACCACCUCAAGUGCCACAGGCUGAUGCCCUUCCACUUCUUUUUGGGUUGCUAGUGAAACGUAGGAAUCGUUUGGAGCAAAACAAACAGAGUAUGGUGUCUAGCUUUGGUACCUACAAUCUUCUGUACUUCCCCAUUUGUCUGAUGCUUCAGGGAGAAGAUCCUAGCUUUAUAAACUUGUAGAUGCAUGUUAUGCGGCCAUGCCAUAUGAUCUGCGGAUUAAUAGCUCGCAAUGAUAUACUACUGUUCAAUUAGCCAUAGGUUGUUUCGCUACAAGUAUUUUGUAACAAGUCUUUCCUUGGAUACUCAUCAACAUGUAUAUCUCUGGUUAACUUCAAUCUGUACUUGAAAUUGUGGUCCUAUAGAACUCAGUGGAAAUGGAGUUCUUCACAGAGUACAGAGAGGCAAGCCAGAACUAGACGGAGUAGUUGAUGCAGCUGUAAACACCCUAUAAGAUUGUCAACUCGGUUGUGAUGAAUCUUGUUGUUGUUGAAGAUGGUUGCCACAUCCAAGGUUCUGUUGUAUGUAAUAAUGUUCAGAUGCAAGAACGAGCGGUUAUUGAGAGAUUGCUAGAUGUGGUAUUUGAAGAAGGGAAACCUUGGGACUGGGACAGUUCAAAGUGCAGCACAGAUCAACAGGAGAAUGACACUUUUAUUGUUCACUAUGAUCUAACUGACCAAAACAUGGCAAUAGCUGGGGAUGAUAGUAACCCAACACUGUCAGAUCAAAGUACAGGAGGAGAAAAUUCAGUUGGCCAAAGCAGUGGAACAGGACAAGCUAAUGAACCUGCUUCUCCAUACACUCCAAUAUCAAGUAUGAUGCAAAAUGAAGGGAUGGGAACUCCAUCUGUUCAACAAUCAGAGAGCUCAGGGUCAGGACCAUACAGGUUCAGAACAUUGACUGAUUUGUUUGAUGCAACUGAACAAGUGCAUGACUUUGAGUAUAGCGGAGUGUGCAUGCUGGCAGCUGAUGAACCUGCAUGUGUGGAACAGGCUCUUUCACAGGACUGCUGGAAAAGAGCUAUGGAGGUUGAACUGAAGUCAGUUCAAGAAAAUCAGACCUGGGAGAUUGCUGAUCUGCCAAGGGAUCACUAAGGCUAUAUGACUCAAAUGGGUUUUCAAAGUAAAGAGGGAUCCAACAUUAGUGCGAACAAUUGUAUUUUAGUUUAGAUUUAGAGUACACUUAUGUAUGAGUUGUUUGACAAUGCUUAUUUAUGAGUCAUUAAAAGGUACUUAUUUAUA